AGUGAACGCUGGCGGUAGGCCUAACACAUGCAAGUCGAACGGCAGCACAGUAAGAGCUUGCUCUUACGGGUGGCGAGUGGCGGACGGGUGAGGAAUACAUCGGAAUCUACUUUUUCGUGGGGGAUAACGUAGGGAAACUUACGCUAAUACCGCAUACGACCUACGGGUGAAAGCAUGGGAUCUUCGGACCUUGCGCGAUUGAAUGAGCCGAUGUCGGAUUAGCUAGUUGGCGGGGUAAAAGCCCACCAAGGCGACGAUCCGUAGCUGGUCUGAGAGGAUGAUCAGCCACACUGAAAGUGAGACGCGAUCCAGACUCCUACGGGAGGCAGCAGUGGGGAAUAUUGGACACUGGGCGCAAGCCUGAACCAGCCAUACAGCGUGGGUGAAGAAGGCCUUCGGGUGGUAAAGCCGUUUUGUUGGGAAAGAAAAGCAGCAGGUUAAUACCCCGCUGUUCGGACGGUACCCAAAGAAUAAGCACCGGCUAACUUCGU
rnacentral:rRNA from 1 species